rnacentral:rRNA from 1 species
GCGAGUCUGCCUUGAAGAUCGGAGUGCUUGCACUCUGUGAAACAAGAUACAGGCUAGCGGCGGACGGGUGAGUAACACGUGGGUAACCUGCCCAAGAGAUCGGGAUAACACCUGGAAACAGAUGCUAAUACCGGAUAACAACAGAUGAUGCCUAUCAACUGUUUAAAAGAUGGUUCUGCUAUCACUCUUGGAUGGACCUGCGGUGCAUUAGCUAGUUGGUAGGGUAACGGCCUACCAAGGCGAUGAUGCAUAGCCGAGUUGAGAGACUGAUCGGCCACAUUGGGACUGAGACACGACCCAAACUCCUACGGGAGGCAGCAGUAGGGAAUCUUCCACAAUGGACGCAAGUCUGAUGGAGCAACGCCGCGUGAGUGAAGAAGGGUUUCGGCUCGUAAAGCUCUGUUGUUGGUGAAGAAGGACAGGGGUAGUAACUGACCUUUGUUUGACGGUAAUCAAUUAGAAAGUCACGGCUAACUACGUGCCAGCAGCCGCGGUAAUACGUAGGUGGCAAGCGUUGUCCGGAUUUAUUGGGCGUAAAGCGAGUGCAGGCGGCUCGAUAAGUCUGAUGUGAAAGCCUUCGGCUCAACCGGAGAAUUGCAUCAGAAACUGUCGAGCUUGA